rnacentral:rRNA from 1 species
GAUGAACGCUGGCGGCGUGUCUAAUACAUGCAAGUCGAGCGAACAGAUGAGGAGCUUGCUCCUCUGACGUUAGCGGCGGACGGGUGAGUAACACGUGGAUAACCUACCUAUAAGACUGGGAUAACUUCGGGAAACCGGAGCUAAUACCGGAUAAUAUAUUGAACCGCAUGGUUCAAUAGUGAAAGACGGUUUUGCUGUCACUUAUAGAUGGAUCCGCGCCGCAUUAGCUAGUUGGUAAGGUAACGGCUUACCAAGGCAACGAUGCGUAGCCGACCUGAGAGGGUGAUCGGCCACACUGGAACUGAGACACGGUCCAGACUCCUACGGGAGGCAGCAGUAGGGAAUCUUCCGCAAUGGGCGAAAGCCUAACGGAGCAACGCCGCGUGAGUGAUGAAGGUCUUCGGAUCGUAAAACUCUGUUAUUAGUGAAGAACAAAUGUGUAAGUAACUAUGCACGUCUUGACGGUACCUAAUCAGAAAGCCACGGCUAACUACGUG